GGGCAUGUGGUCUAGUGGUAAGACGCUCUAUGGGGUUGAGGUAGGCCUACUCCUCCUUAGAGAAAAUUAGGUUCGAUUCCUAACGUGCUCC